AAACCAGCACCUCAAGUGGUCAGGAGGAUUAUUGGGCCUAAAGCAUCCGUAGCCUGUUCUAUAAGUUUCCGGUUAAAUCCAUUAGCUCAACUAAUGGGCUGCCGAAAAUACUGUAGAACUAGGGAGUGGGAGAGGUAGACGGUAUUCGGUAGGAAGGGGUAAAAUCCUUUGAUCUAUUGAGGACCACCUGUGGCGAAGGCGGUCUACCAGAACACGUUCGACGGUGAGGGAUGAAAGCUGGGGGAGCAAACCGGAGUAGAAACCCCGGUAGUCC
rnacentral:rRNA from 1 species